CCUAAAUGGAUUUUUUAAGGUCUACAUCAGGAACAAAGCAGCUGGGUGCAUCUCCUAGCCAGAGCAGCAUAUGGGGGAACACGAGAGAGAGAAAACAGAAAUAAAUAGAAAGGGCCCAGUUCAUGUGAACCUGCUCCAGCAGGGGGCCAGUUUUUCAACCUGCUCCCUAUCUGGCUGUUCUAAAUUAUCACACAGGAAACUACACCAUAAACCGCUCAACAUCAUUUCACCAAUCUGCUUAAUCCUUUUAUGGAGGGAGGACCUCCACAGACUGAAAGGUAGCCAAAGUCUUCUGCCAAUUUCAACUUUGGUCUCCUGGCAGAGACUGUCAAAAAGAGGCCAGUUAGCGCCAACUGUGAUGUGACACCUGUCCAUGUGGGAUUGAUCUAAAACCUCCAACUCAUUUGAACU